rnacentral:rRNA from 1 species
GAUGAACGCUAGCGGCAGGCUUAACACAUGCAAGUCGAGGGGUAACAGGAGUGCUUGCACUCGCUGACGACCGGCGCACGGGUGCGUAACGCGUAUAGAACCUACCUUUUACUGAGGGAUAGCCUUUAGAAAUGAAGAUUAAUACCUCAUGGUAUUGUAAACUGGCAUCGGUUUAUAAUUAAAGAUUUAUUGGUAAAAGAUGGCUAUGCGUCUUAUUAGCUAGAUGGUAAGGUAACGGCUUACCAUGGCAACGAUAAGUAGGGGCCCUGAGAGGGGGAUCCCCCACACUGGUACUGAGACACGGACCAGACUCCUACGGGAGGCAGCAGUGAGGAAUAUUGGGCAAUGGAGGCAACUCUGACCCAGCCAUGCCGCGUGCAGGAAGACUGCCCUAUGGGUU